rfam:Gossypium hirsutum cultivar TM-1 chromosome 14, whole genome shotgun sequence
GACGUCAGCGCACUUUGCUUACGUGGCAACAAAGCGCGGCCUUAAGAACGCGAUUUGUGUCCAUGUCAGCAUAGCGCGCUGACGUGG